UGAUCAGAAGCUAAUUCUUAGCACCUAACUGUUAACUAGGAGAUAGCUAGUAACCACCCUAGCCUGAUCAG
rnacentral:tRNA from 1 species